CGACCAGACUCCUACGGGAGGCAGCAGUGGGGGAUAUUGCACAAUGGGGGGAACCCUGAUGCAGCGACGCCGCGUGGGUGAAGGAGCGUCUCGGCGCGUAAAGCCCUAUCGGCAGGGAAGAAGGAGGACGGUACCUGACUAAGAAGCCCCGGCUAACUACGUGCCAGCAGCCGCGGUAAUACGUAGGUGGCAAGCGUUAUCCGGAUUUACUGGGUGUAAAGGGCGUGUAGGCGGGAAAGCAAGUCAGAUGUGAAAACCAUGGGCUCAACCUGUGGCCUGCAUUUGAAACUGUUUUUCUUGAGUACUGGAGAGGCAGGCGGAAUUCCUAGUGUAGCGGUGAAAUGCGUAGAUAUUAGGAGGAACACCAGUGGCGAAGGCGGUCUGCUGGACAGCAACUGACGCUGAGGCGCGAAAGCGUGGGGAGCAAACAGGAUUAGAUACCCGGGUA
rnacentral:rRNA from 1 species